rnacentral:tRNA from 1 species
GUGUUCGUGGUGUAACUGGUAGCACAUCAGCCAUUAAAAGGAUGAUCUUGCUGAUGGUCUAGGUUCGAUUCCUAGCGAACACC